CUGCCUUCGAAAACCUCUGUGAUGCCAACAGGGGGCAAGUUUCUUUGAAGUUAAGGGAGACUCCCAGACAGUAGUGGGGGGCGGUUUGUCCAGGGAGCGGCACAGACCGUGGCUCAGGAGCCCUCCGAGCACUCGUGACUGGAGUUGUGACCUAAAGGGACUUCUUUCUGUGCGUGGUAUAGCUACACGGUAUAGCCUCGUUCCUCACUGUGUGAAUUCUUGUUGCUACCCCAGGUGAAGCAGAUUUUCUCUUCCAAAAUGACUAUACAAGCUCUGGUUUUGUGUUUGGCAUAUUCUGGGCUUGGAAAGGCAAAUGUGGUUCCGCAGGCUGGAUACACAGCAGUGAGGAUGGGUGACAGUGUGACUCUGAGUUGUGCCCUGACAAAACCCAUGGAUGUUCUGCAAGUGACAUGGCAAAAGGACUCAGAAGAAUUACAUGAUAAUAUAGCUACAUACAGUGAAACGAACGGAUUAAGGAUUCAGAAGCCCUAUAAAGACAGAAUGAAUUUCACAAGUUUGGAACUCAACAAGACAAGCAUAACUUUUUGGGACACUAGAAUGGAUGAUUCAGGAUGUUACAAGUGUCUCUUCAAUGUUUUCCCUUCUGGUCCUCUCUCAGGAAAUACCUGCCUGAGUGUUUUUGGUCUCAAUGCAUCUGUCCAUCACAACAUUUCUGAAGAUCAUCUGAUAGUCAUUUGUAAUGCUAAUGGCCUUCCAGAGCCCACCAUCACCUGGAACAACCUGUUCAACUCUACUCCCACACAGAAGACAGUCAAGCACAAAAAUGGGAUUGUGUCCAUCACCAGUACACUGGAAAUCUACCAUAUUCAGAGCAUCAAUGCACAGGAUUUGACCUGCAAAGUAAGCAACACAAAUGAAACAUUUGAAAUACCUGUGAAAAUAAAAGGAGAAGAGGGAUCAUCAUUGCUUUGGCUGGUGAUUAUUGUGGUGCUUUUAGUAGUCAUGAUAGUUCUGAUUCUGUUCUGGAGGAAGAUCCUAUGCAGGAGGAGUUGAAGUGGCCAACCUGUGGAUGCAUCCGUAGCUCCUGUAAGAGCAUGUGCACAACAUGUAUCGCCAAUUAACAUCUUAGCUCAAGGGAUAAAGGCUUUUGUCUAAUGGGAGUUGGCAACAAGGAUCCUGCUGAGGAAUGGGCAGCAAGCAAAACACAGGAAAAGGGUGUAGGAAUUCCUCUUCUGCAUUGACUGUUUGAAGCAUGAAGAAUGGAAAAAACACGACCAAAGGAAGCACCAUAUGCCCUUGAAUUAAAAAGAGGAAAGGAGAUCCUAAAAGAAAUGUGUUGCCCAGGUAAUAGGAUGAAUAACAGGGAAACCAGCAUUGUCCCCUUGUGUAAAUGGAAGGUAUGAAAUUGUAAAAUGAAAAGUUUAUGCAUGUAGUUUGAACUUUGCCUCCUUGGGUGGACUGAAUGAGCAUAGUCUCAGCCUAUAUUUUUCCAUGGGGCUCUCCCACAUGUGAUGGCAGGACAGCACUCAUCUAUUUUGAUGUUCAAGAUGUGGUUUUCAGUGGCUUUCACUGCUCUGAGUGUUCUAUGUCAGUGUUUCAGAGGCCCAUCUCCUCCUGUGUCCUUCUCGUCUCUCCUGAAGAAGACACCAUGGAUAUGUAGAGUGCUCUGGAGUUACAUGGGAGCCUUGGCUCGGUGGGCGUUGGGCCUUGGCAGAGGGUCAGGAAAUGAGUAACCUGCAAACAGGUCCUUUGUCUUAUCUUUCUUUCUGAAUCAUCAUGGAGAUAGACAAAAAUUUUACCUUGGUGGCUACAUAAAGAUGGCAGAUUUCUGUGCCUGUCAGAAAAGGACUGUUUAACUCAUUCUGUAAUUUCCUAACCAAGACAACCACUUCUGAAGCAACAGCUGCUGUGGUAACGGGCUAACUAGUAGGUCUCAAAGCAAGCCACACAUGAAUUAAACCUGCAUUUUAAAAUGAAGAGAAUAUACCACCUUUUCAGACAUAGAGGAAAUGACAUUUUACAGUCUUGCAGAAAUGUGUUUUAUUUUCAUUGGGUUGGGGUUUUUUUCUGAACAUUUCCAUCAACAUUCCAGGAGAACUUAGGAGGAGACAAAGUUUGUAAAGCUUUCCUAUGGGAAAAAGUAAAGGAAUCAUUUAAGAUGACUGCAUUAAACAUUACAGGCAUUACAGGUACCACUGACCUGAGCCGCAGUGUAAACUAUUGAACAGAGCUGUCAAACACCUUUUGUGUUUCUUUAGAUAGAAUAGCUGUUUUCAUACACCUGAUAUAUUUCAAAACUUUUUUCCCCCCUCCUAAAGUGGUUGAAGCCAGCUUGGCACAUUGGCAGUCUGAACAGAAUUCCAGAGGUUGGCAUGUGACUGUGGCCUGGCUAUGCCAAUGUUGACUCCUUCCUGCCUUGCUGGGGCCACUUACUCUUCCGCACUUCCCUUUUCUUUCUGUGGCUGCUGACAGAGACUGAGCCUGUGGCCUAGACAUAGCAGAGAAAUUAUGCAGUGACACAGACAUCCAUGUGUCUAUGAAAAUUAUAGGUUAUUGUUCUCUGUGUGUCAAACCCUGACAAUCGUCCUUCAUCCACUACAAACAUAACCUUCUGCCAGGAACAAAGCAGCAUUUGCAAUAAAUUCAGGGAAAACAAGAUGACAUGGUAGGAGAAUUUUUUUUUUUUUUUUAAGGAAUGAUGUUAAGUCCUCUGUUUGGCAUCUGUGCCUGCUCAUUAUUCCAAAAAAUCUUGCAAGCUCUGGACAGGCUCAGAAGGAACUAAGAUUGUUUAUUUCUCCGUAUCAUAGACUUUCUGCUCUGGAGAGGGCCACAACACCAUCAUCAUUUUUAAGAAGAAAACCAGAACUUCAUCAUUUAGAUCUGGUUUUUUUGUUGGAAGACUUGCCAGGCACAAAUUGCUCCCAUCUGCUCUAAGAGUGCCCAUUGUGUGCUACCAAUGUAGAUAGCUUCACUUGUUUCUGUGGGUUUUGUGAACCCUGAGUGGGUUUGGAAUAAAUCAAAACUUGCACCAGAGCUGUGUGCCAGAUCAGAUAACCUAAUGAGAGCUCCCAAGUCUUCCUGUGAGCUUUACCUGUCCUUAACCUCAGGGACACUGCCUGAGGUAGCCCCAUAAAACACUGCUGCCUUUGCUUCUUAUCAACCAGCAGGCAUAAUUAAGAGGGCCCAAUUGCAAUGUGUGGAUGGGGGAUGAGUAUUUUUAGCUUGGCUGAUUGCAAAGGUCAUCUCUAAAUGAAUGUUUCUGACAGUCUGCCACCCUUUUUCUUUGGGAAUGUGGUUGUCCCAGUUUCCCUCACCAAUGAAUGAAGCUCUGUAAGAAAAAUACUCAAAGGUCAAGAUAACCUCUCAGUAUGUGCAGUUUUCUCCAUGGUAACUAUAAUGGAAUGGUUGGUGUAGUAAUGGUAUCCAACGUGGGACUACAUGUGAUAAUAGACAAUUUUUGAAACAAGUCUAUCUGUAUUUAAGAAACAGACUAAUCUACUAGGGAGUGUAUCUACUGCUUCAUAUUGCCAAAACAAAAAAUAUUAAAACUUAAAGAAAAUCUAACCCUGUACAACUAGUAUGCAAAGGUUUUAUGGAAAAGGAGCAGCUGGCAAAAAGAAAAAAAAUUUAGAAAAAGAAACGUGAGAAUUCUAGGGAGAUUAAUUUUAUAUAUCUUGCUAAAAAAAAUCAGAAUUUAUUUUGAAUAAUUACCCUCCCCCAGAUCUGGGAAAAUUGCAGUUCUCUGGAGGCCUGUAAUAGGUCAUGUUUGUUUUCUGUUCUUUGGGACAUAAGUGAUAUUUAAGUGCAAUAACUGUUUUUUCUGGCUCUGGAAAGCUGUACUUGCUGGGACAGUCCUUUGGGUGAGGCAUUUUAUAAGGAUUAGAAUAGUAAAUUUCCACAUUGCAGUCUUCUUCAGCUCAGACCCCAAGUGCACACUGCCAAACACAGGGUUGGCUGUUUUGGGGGUUUGAUACUGGCUAAAAGGCGGGCACCCUCAAGAAACCAUUCACUCAUUCUCCUCUACUACAGGUUAGCAGAGGAGUGGAAAAGAAAAAAUCUGAAAGACUUAUAGGGUGAGAUAACAAUUAGGAGAAAACACUCUAAGGGUAAUACAGGCUUAAAACUUAAAAGGCAGAAAUAAAAAUUUAUUAGUAGAAUUAAAAGACGAAAAUGAGUACCAACAUAAACCUUUAGAACACCUUUCCUUCCCGCCCUCAAGCCUUUCUUUCUUUCUUACCAACAGCGCAGGGAGACAAAACAUGGGGUGUUUUGUUAGUUUGUCACUAAGGAGACCCUGGGGGGCAUUCCCUGGUUUAGGAAGACACAAGAAGCUUCCCUCAAAAAGCUGUUAAGACCCCACUGGUUUCUUCCACUGUUCCUAUGUCCCUGAGCCACUCCCUCCUUAUUUCCUGAUUGACCCUUAUCUUUGUACUGCCCCAAGACCAGGUUGAUCCCCAGGUCCCUCGGCAGGAAAAAACCUCGAGUCCCCCCAUGAAUGUGCCUGGGACCCUGAACAUCUUACCACAUGGCUGAAUUAAACAUCUGUGGAUAUUAUGAAAAGGCUCUUUUUGCUUCCUUACCCUGGACUUUACUAGCAGCUAUUCCGGUUGCAACAGUCACUUCUGAAAAUCUUUCUUCUGUUCACUUAGGGAGGGGCUUCUCUUCUGCUAUGUUGUGGUCACAGGUUGCAGGUAGACAUCUACAUCUCCCCAUGCACUUCAUGAAUUACAGUGAAAUAGUUUUUUGUACUUUAGUUCUCACCACAGCUUGCAGAAGAAUCUCAGCUCUGACACUCAGAGCACCUCCUCCUCCCCCUCCCUCCUUUUCACUGCCCUUAGCAUUGCCAUGUUGUUCUCCUCACAUGCCUUCAUCUUUUUCUUUUCUCUGACUUGGGAGAGAAUUGGUGUCCAUAGGUUCAUUUGUUCUCAAGUUCUAUCACUUGAAAAGUUUUUAUAGAGUUUUGCAGUGCUGAAAUGUUGAUCCCGUAUGGGCUCUACAUCAGGCAAUUGCUCGCCAUGCCCUUCACUGCUGAUCAUGGGGUCCCUGCCGACCCCAUACAGGCCACACCAGCUGCCCUUGCCUUUCUGGUUAAAAGCAACUAAAUAAAUAAAGUUCAUUGCAAGUCAUGCCAAGAUGGCAGCGGCUGCACAAUCCUGGCUGAGCUGCCCGACUGUGCCACCCUGGCCACAUGGCCGCUACUGGCGCUCGGAUGAGCCAGGAUGGGCACUCCUGGCCAUGCCAGAAGACUUCCCGGAGGCCACCUCCCUACCCCUUGCAGGAAGAAAGAGGGCUUGCAUGCAUUUUUUUCAUUUGUAAAUAUGUGCUCACAGAGGCGUUGCUAACUUCUCUGAUUGGGCUAGCCAAGAUGUCCGUCGUCAGAGCCUUCAGGGAUUGGCUCUUCUGGACACAGUAGAAGUUUUGAGGAGCUUCUCUUUCAGAAGCAGCCUCUGUGGUUUUUUCUACAUCCCCACUAAAAGCCAGGUUGUGUUAAACUAAUACAGCUGCUCUUUCCAUGCUUGCGCUGAUCUCCUGGGUGGAACUUGUGUAAAAUUCCCUUCUUUCCUUGUCUACCUUCCUUCAUUUCUGCAGUUCAUGAAAGAGAGAUUAUCCUAAAUGGCUGCCCUGGUAUUCUGUUGACUUCACAGACAUCUCUCUUUGACGGUUCUUCCAGCAGCCAUGUCUUUAGCUAGGAAAGAAGGGAAGAAGUAGCAGUUCAGGAUUUAGUCUUGAGUUUUCCUUUACUCUCUACAGUGAUGGAUGAGGGUUUCUAAUGGUUGUCUUUCAGUGAUUUUAACAGACUUGGUCUCACAGUAAAUCAUGCCAUGGAAUUUAACAUUCUUGCCCUCACAUAUUUUAAGGAAGUUCCACGAUGGAAAGAGGUUAAUUCUAGAUGCAACAGCUUGCGUGGUAUGUCUGCUACCCUCAAAGGCUCUCUGUUUAGACAAAUAUGAAACUAUGAAAAAACUCUUUUCUAUUAUCUAUUACCUUCUAUUCCUGAAGGGGAAGGCAGCACUUUUCCAUGUUUACCUAGAAAUCUGGUAUCUUGCUUCAGAUGCCACAGGGAUUAAAGGACACUUAUGAUCUGGCCUGAAAUUUUUUGUGUACACAAAUGUUGGAUUUCCUUUUGCUGCCACCUUGAUGUUAGGGAAGAAGGCAGCAGCUCUGUUCACCUGCACUGCGGAGCGGUGGGUGCCAGCUCUUGCACUGAGACCUUCCUUGUGUUACCUGCUCACUGUUUUGAGCUCCUGAGAUCAGCCCUGUAGCUUCAGUUGCUUCCAAUCCUCUGUGUUUUAAGGGAUGACAGGUACUUUCUGCUGUGGUUCAUGGUUGCUUUGCUUCCUGCUCAGUUUUUGUCCAUAGCUGUAGCAGGACACUCACGCAGGUUGAGGAUCUCCAGUCCUGGAUUUAGACCCAGAGGAUGUCAGACCUAGCAGACAGAUCAGGCAAGCAGAUCUCAGUGUUUGACCUGCCUUAAUUGAUCCUUUUGAUGUUUUUUACAGCAGUUGGAAAGGAGGCUUGCAAAAGACAGAAAAUAAAUGCAUGACAGCAGAUGAAAGGAAUUUGUGUUUUUGGUGAAGCUCAUAGCAAGGUCACUGGGGCUUGACAUCUGGCACACAGCUCUGGUGCAACUCUGUGGGUGGUAGACUUCCUUCCUAAUCAAGGACCGAAUCAGCCAGUGAUGAUGAUGUAGUGAUUUAUCCAAUGCCCACAUAACUAUGAUGUGCACAGAUUCUGAGAUAUGAUUCAUCUUUCUCCCAUGAGUCUCAAUGGAGCCUUUUGGUGCCUGGCUCAGAUACAAUAUGCCACUGUAGUUGUCUGCAGUGGGUGGAAUGAGUCCCACACCAGAGCUGGGCUCCAGGGAGAAGAUGACAAGGUCAGAUUUAAGAGACUUGGUUACAUUCCAUAUGACAAACAAUACUUUCUUUUACAUUGAAUUAGUUGCCUCCUGAAGGAAGAAGGAACUCUGGGAAAAGACAACAUAUUUUGAAAUACUGUAUCUGUCAGAAACAAACCUGGUUGGGAGUAGAAAAUACAGAGAAAUUAAAUUUAAAAGAAACAUAUUAUUUUGAGAAAGUCUAAAGAAGUCAAUUAGUUUAACCAUUUGUUUGGAACAGCCAAGUAGAAGCAAGCCUUGCAGAUAAGGCAUUGUAUUUGCAGGUUGCAAGGAGGGGUUGGGACUUGUCGCAAUUGGAGAGUCAUCAAAACAAAAGAUGUUCAGCUCCCUGACUUGGCUUUAUGUAGCCAGGCAUAUCCAGGACUCGAGGCAGGGCUGGGGCAGGGGACAGCUUUCAUCCUUGUAAGGAAUUCUUCUGGGUCCAUAAAGACAGGAGGUAACAAAGACAUUGCUAAUAACAAUAUUGUUCUGUUUGGCAUAUAACAUUUUGGAUUAUAAAGGUUCUGACUGACACAGAGUAAUGAAAAAGCCUAAGCUUGGAGAAAAGACUCGAAAAUGGAUAAUUACAGUAAAAUUAUUUUGGUGUUCUUUAGGUUAACAAAGGAGAGUUGUUCUGGAUAAAAAUGCAAAUAAAAAUCAUACCUCAGCUGGUAGUGCUGUAAACUGCUCAGAAUAAAGACAUUUACCCCUGAAAUUUCAAUAGUUCUGUGGGAUUUUUUAUCUGGACGCAUAAUGCUGCAGCAAAAAGAGCAAAAGGUUGAGCAAUUAAAGAUAUAAUAUACGUUUCUGUGAGGACUUUGGCUUGUUUUUAAUCAAUGAAAAUCACUUUCAGCUGGUGGCACGUCAACCUGUCUUACAGAGAAGCACCUGCUCUUCCCUAAAGUGAACAGGCUUUGUUCACGAAUCACCACAGUUCAGUGGCAUCUCAGAACAGGUGCCAUGACUUCUUCUAGCACAGCAAGACAAUUAAGCAAUACCAAAAAACACCCCAAAUAUCGCCUACAAAUAAAAAGAGGAAAUUAAUUCGAGGACCGUUGAGUGUAGAGGGGUUGUGCCUGUGCUCUGAUGCUCUCCGAUGAAGUUAGGAGGAGCAUUCUACAAGCUUGACUCCAGCCGGGGCCUGAGGGAAGCACGAGGGAUCCCUUUUGCAGGGAAGAAGGGCACAGCUGGUGCUCAGUCCUUGCCGUUUCUUGCCAUCUAGUGGCUUGCCAAAGAACCAGUCCUAGGCUGCACAGGUCAUGUCUUUAAAACCCUCAUCAGAAGGGAGGGAUGCCUGCCCAGGGAAAAGAACACUGAGAAGAAGGUUCUGCCCCUGCAUAGCCAAGUCACCUCCAUCCUCCCUGCCUGCUCUUCUCUGCCCAUUCUUCUUUCUUCCCUUCAGAGGAUGGCCAGGUUGCAGAGGCUUUGGUCACUCAUUGUGACCUUUUCUAGGAUGGAGAGGGCUUUAAAGUUUACCUUUGGUGUUUCCUGAAUAACUAAGUUGGGCUUUGGCUGGCACUGAAGUGGAGGAUGGUUUUUUUUGGUCCUUGAUGCUCAUGGGCUGGGUAGAAUGACACCCUCCACACCUUCUUGAUGCAGUCAGCCUGACUUACGGGUGUGCUACCCACCAUACAUCUGUAGAAACAGACAGAUAAAAUUCUGGCAUAUACUGGGCAAAAAUUUCCUGGUGUAGGCAACCUCUCUGUGUGGCCUUCUUUGGUAUUUGACAUCUCUCUCUUCCGUAGCAUCCACUCUUCUAGUGAGAUUUUUGCCAUCACUUAACUAUUUGGGAAUAACUGUUAGAUUAGGAAGGUGAGCUCGGAUGUUGACAUCUGUUACAAGAGCAAAUGCAGAUGAUUGCAUUGGUCUGACAGUUCACUAAAUCCCCCAUCUGUGGGAACUGCACGUUUUAUCUGUACACUUUUGGUACAUUGAAAAUAUUUCAAGUGUAAAUUACAGAGUAUUUUUUUUUCUGCAAGCAGAUUCAGGUUAUCAGGGUAUGUUUUUAGUUAAAACAUUUCCCGGAGGAAGUAGGAUGCUUUGACACAUUCGUCCAAAAAAAUCCUGCAAGUAGAAAAUGAAAGUAUGCUUUGAAAGUCUGGUACUUUCCGCCUUAACUUCCACAGUAAUCAGAUAAAGUAAAAACAGGAGAUUACAUUGUGUUUUUUAUUUAGAUCCUUUCCCGUCCCCCACACAGAGAAAAUUGAGUGGGAUUACAGAUGAUUUCUCUGCCUGUGUCAGAGUGCAGUAGGGCGAGGGUUGGUUCAGAGCAGCAGAGUGAGUCCAGCAGCCAGGAUUUGUCCUACCUCCCAGCCAGGAGCAGGGCAGGCAGCAGACACUGGGAGCACCUCUCUGGGGAUGGGGACAAAGGAUCAGCCCUCAAGUGGGGUCUGCUAUCAACCUGUUCAAGCCACAAAUGAAUAACAUGCUCUUGGGGAUGUGGAGAGGAUGUUCAUUAUUAUGGACAGAAUGAAGGCUUACUGGCUAUGAUCCCAGCAGCAGGCAGUCUUGAUGUGUUAGGUGCUAUGCUCCUCACCCGUUUUUUACAAAGAAAUGCUCUGUCUACUGACAGUGGUUCUUUUGGACCAAGGGGACAAGAGCCAUCUCCCUCUCACCUCCAAGUGGCUGAGGUGGCUGUGGCUGCUGUAGUGCCCAGUUAGGUAGUGUAGACUCCUCAGCAUUCAUGAGCCUCUCCUAUAGUUCUGUACCCUGUAUAUCUAGGAACAUGUUUGCAGGUGGCUUUUACAGAUUUUAGAUAAGUUUUCAAAAUUCUAAGCUAAAUUUCUCUGAAGUUUGUCUUCAGGAUCCAUGUCAAAGCAUGUGACUCAAUCACCUUUGUUGGGAUGGAGUUUGCUAAUUCUUAUGAUCCCAAACCACAGAGCUUGUAGCAGAAUGUAUUUGUGAGCCAAGUCACCACUGAAAGAGCUCAGUUAUAUAUUUGUCCUAAUCAGUAUGCAUUUCUCUGGAUUUAAGGUAAAAGUAUAUUAUGAGGGAAGGGAAGGGAAGGG